GAACGGACUGUAAAAAAAUUGCAUCCUUGGAGUCAGUCACCUUCUAAUCCGCAACUGCAUCCCCAGAUGACAUCAUUGUCCGUUGGCCGUUGUCCUUUGUUCGCCGAAAGUGCACUUCACACACACAGCACCACACUCGCACAUCACAAUUACCGCCUUGAAGCGGCAUUCAUAAAUUAGGGAGGGCCCAGAAAAUGGCAUUUUACAAAAUGCUAAGUACACACACGCCUCCCAACCAGCCGGGAAUCCCCUUGAUAUCCUCCUCCGAACAUCCUCGCUGACUUCGGGGUAAGGAAAUCAGGAAACGCUGUGAAUCGAACUGCGGAACAAGAGCACGACAUGGGUUAUAUAUCAACCAUGUGUGUCGACACCCGGACGCAAGGGAAUGGGCCUUUUGGCUGCCAGCAAAUCCAUUUUG
ensembl:ncRNA lncRNA:CR43858 long non-coding RNA:CR43858